rfam:Picea glauca, whole genome shotgun sequence.
AGUCAAUCCUAAGAGAUGGGAAAUCCUUGUAUCAAGGGUUCACUCUGCAUGAACAUAGAAAGAGAAUUGGGUUAAUAUUCCUGAACCGGGACAUGGUGGUGGAUGACAAUGUUAGGAAAUUUGGAGAUGUCAUCGGGGUCCUGGGAAGAGUUAUCUUUUCUUUUUAAUGACUUUCCCACCCUGAAAUCGGUUCAACCAGAGAUAGGGUCCAACAUCUGGAAGAGAACCACACUUCUUGUGGUUUUUGGUGCCCCCUCAGUGACCAUUGAAAAUAUGGAGAACCGAGUACCAUCCAUACCCGAUCAUAAUCAUAUAUGCCUCCUU